rnacentral:rRNA from 1 species
CCUACGGGGGGCAGCAGUGGGGAAUAUUGCACAAUGGGCGCAAGCCUGAUGCAGCCAUGCCGCGUGUGUGAAGAAGGCCUUCGGGUUGUAAAGCACUUUCAGCGGGGAGGAAGGCGGUGAGGUUAAUAACCUCAUCGAUUGACGUUACCCGCAGAAGAAGCACCGGCUAACUCCGUGCCAGCAGCCGCGGUAAUACGGAGGGUGCAAGCGUUAAUCGGAAUUACUGGGCGUAAAGCGCACGCAGGCGGUCUGUCAAGUCGGAUGUGAAAUCCCCGGGCUCAACCUGGGAACUGCAUUCGAAACUGGCAGGCUAGAGUCUUGUAGAGGGGGGUAGAAUUCCAGGUGUAGCGGUGAAAUGCGUAGAGAUCUGGAGGAAUACCGGUGGCGAAGGCGGCCCCCUGGACAAAGACUGACGCUCAGGUGCGAAAGCGUGGGGAACAAACAGGAUUAGAUACCCGUGUAGUC